rnacentral:rRNA from 1 species
UACGUAGGGUGCGAGAGUUGUCCGGAAUUAUUGGGCGUAAAGAGCUCGUAGGCGGUUUGUCGCGUCGACUGUGAAAACCUGGGGCUUAACUCUGGGCCUGCAGUCGAUACGGGCAGACUUGAGUUCGGUAGGGGAGACUGGAAUUCCUGGUGUAGCGGUGAAAUGCGCAGAUAUCAGGAGGAACACCGGUGGCGAAGGCGGGUCUCUGGGCCGAUACUGACGCUGAGGAGCGAAAGCGUGGGGAGCGAACAGG